CAUCAGGGGUCUCAGCCCUGUCCCUGGUUUUUCAGGUCAGGCUGCAUUCAACUACAACCAGCUGGAAGGAAGGUUUAAACAGCUUCAAGGAUAUGGAAAGGCGCAAAUCCUAGGAGCAGGAAAAGGACUUUGAAUCGUACUUUGACUCAAUGUGUUGGGUGUAGAGAAGCAUUUCUGAAUGAUCAGCUUCUCUCUGUUGCUCUGAGCUAGUUUUAAUAAUGAAUGGAGACUCGCUCCUUUUCACAAGUGCUCAGAAUCUCUGUGUGGGAUCAUUAUCCACUGGACCUUGCACCUGAUCAAAGAUAAAGCCGAAAAACUUUCAAUUGAACUUUCUUUGAAUAUCCUGAAUGAAGUCACACAAAUACAACUUAGAAGAAUGAAUACACAAGGACGUGGGCUUUUCUCUUUGUAUGAACUGUACCUUUCAAAUUGUUAAUAAAUUGACUUCAUACAAGUUCAGAUUACAGUUGCUAGCAGUAAAUAUUCAGACAUUACCCUCUAUCCCAACUUCUGGUUGCUCCAUAUUUGUGUGACGAAAAUUGACUGCUUGAUUGAUUGAGAGACUUCUGCAUUUUGAGAAUAACUUCUAUAACAAACUUCUGAAACUGACACUAAGACAUAUUCUAUAAUAAAUAGAGGAAAUGGAGGGUUUUCGUCAUCAGUGUAAGGUUUGAUGCCGGGACUUUUAUGAAGGACAAACCCUUGAGUGUAAAUUUAUGGUCAGGCUGAAUUUAGCUGAAGGUUAAUGGAGCCGGUUUACUGUUUGCAGCCUCAUCGAUAUUUUGAUUCCCAGAAUCCUUCAGCGAUGUCCCUAGUUUCUAAAAGUGUCUCUCUGGCUCGAGGCCAGGCGAAUGUGGUAGGCUUUAAUUUUUGUGGCUGUCAAUACCUCAGAUAUUUUCAUAUCCUCUUUUUUUCAUAUAUUUUCAUGUCCUGUUCCCUUCAUUUUUAAGGAUUUUAAGUCCUAGGUUCUCUAAAAAGAGAAUUUAGGAAAUGCAAAACUUUGGAAUAAUCCUUUAUUCUCUGAUUCAUCAUGCAGAAUAGUUAAAUGCUCACAAAAAGUCUGUGAUGUUUGAUAGAAGCCCUUGCGAGUUUUGACUUUGGUUUGUGUGUUGUUUGGAGAUGGGCGGGUUAUCUAAUGUGUUAUCUUUAAUGAUCAUAAAGUAAUCUGUUUUAUAGCUCGGGUGUAGGUGUGUGUAGUGUUGAUGUGUAGUGCUAGAAAAUCGCCUUAAGUACAAACUGUAUAGAAAGAUAGGAGGAAGAAAAAAGGUCUUCAUAAAGUCAUGACUGCAGCACUGUGUUGUAAUUCUUAGGUAUGAAACUCAUUUUUGCUGCUAAAUUAGCGAGAUGUAGCUUCAGAUUUAAACUUGCAAAGUGAAUCAUUGACAGUUGUCACUUAAAUGGACACGUUGUAAUUAGUAUUUGGACUAUAACAGGAUCUCAUCUGACUGUUUAUUUUUAGAAGAUUCACAUGACAUGUUGGUCCGCUAUGUAAACUUGUUACUAUUGGACUCAAUGAAAAGGCCAAAGAGAUAACAGCUAUAGUUUUAUAUUGAGGUGUAGAAGAAAAACAUGUUAUUUUUAUGAAGUCACAGAUGCCAUAAAAUAUUUGUUUUGCCAACACACAAGUUACCAAGAAUCAUUCCUGGAUGAAUGAUCCAAUAAGAAAGAAGUUGACGUAUUUGGUUAGUACUAUAACAUUACCCAGACUUUAGCAUAAGUGUAGCAUAGCUUUAAACACAACAUACAGCUUUACAAAACAGUACAUAAUUACUUUAACCAUAGGAAAGAUUUGUAUUUUUAGUGAAUGUUUAAAUCUAGAACAAUUCAUUUUAGGGUUCAUUUAGGGUUUUCUAUUUGCCCUUACAGAUUGUUUGGCAUUAAGUGUUUUUCUCUUUUGAUUUAGAGACAAAAGUGCCAACUUUGGACAAACACGUCUUAAUAAACCCUUAUUCCCUCAAGGCUUUUACUUCUCAGAGUUGCUAGCCGCCAGACACAACUAGUUCUGGGAGGGUGUUUAUGAGGAUAUCAUUUCAUGCCCCUGUAUCAUGUGGCUCAGGUGGUUCAGAGCAGCCACUCGUAACCUAAACGACUGUUGGUUCAAUUCCCAGUGGGGAGAUGAAUUUGGACGCAGUCAGUGAUUAUUGCACUGCAAAGAGCUUCAGAUGUGAGAGGGCGGAGACAGAAAAAGAAUGGAGCAGCACUUCCUUCUCGUUAGGAACGAGUAUUGAGUGACUGUCCCCCGUUUGAAAUCAGGCAAUUACAGAGGAAGCAAGUCAUCAAAUUACCUCCAGAAGAGACUCAUGGGAGACUUUUAUACAGAAAAGACUGAAUGACGAGAUAAAACUGUCAGAAUAACAGCCAUGGAGGGUUGUCUGUGAUUUGUUUUCCCCAAUAAUUGCUAAAUUGUCUUUUACUGACUUUGUUGUUGCACAAAACACACUAAAUUCUCAAAGGAACUUCUUUAGGACCUGAUAUGAUAGAAAACAAAGCCUGCUGACCAUUGUGAUGGUGUACUUUACUUUGUAGUUUAUUCAUAUUGAGGGAUUGAAAAACAUAACUGUGUAGUGUUUGGAAUAACUCGUCUGAAAUCACUCCACAGCAACAAUCAAUCUUUAGAAAGAUAACUAGGGACAGAGACACAUGGAUGGAUAGAUGGAUGGAUAGAUGGAUGGAUUGGUUGACGGACAGAUGGAUCACCAUUAAGAUGACUGACACAUAAGUAAAGGAUAUAGAUGGAUGGUGUACAUAUGGAUCAAUAGAUUAACAUUAAAUGGAUGUAAAGGUUUAUUAAUGACUGUCAAAGAGAUAGAUUGAUGGAAAAAUAGACAAAUUACAUGAUAGAGGGAUUGAUAGAAAGACAGAUGAAUGAUAAAUGGAUGAUAGGCAAAUUAAAAGAUUUAGAGAGUUUUGAAUAAAGUAAAUGGAUAUAUGACAUAUUUGUAGGUAGUAUGUUAAAUGAUGGAUAGCAAGUUGGAAAGGCUGUGGAGUCACUGGUUUUGGUUUUGGAUCAUGAUCAAAAUUUGUACAAUUAUUUUAAGAUAUACAUUUAAUUACAUCCAGAUUUGCAUGUUUGAAACAUACAUGAAAAACCAGCUUGUUUUUCCUUAAACGUCCUUAUUGUACAAAAGUUUUAAUAUUCUGCUGUAUGUCUACUGAUGUAAACAAAUAUUUAUCAGACUCAUCAAAGCUAAUAUUCAGUGUCUGUUUUGGUCUUUCCUUUUGAUAGGAGCUUCCAGUCCUUUGUUUUGAAAUGCAUUGUGGGCGGAGCUUCAACCCUUUAACAUUCAUAUUAUAGAAUAUGACAGUUAAGACUGUAAAACACUGAUAAAUCAAUGAUUGAUUGACAGUUAAAGCACGCUAACCGUCAUGUGAGAUCAAAUCACAUGAAACACACACAUAACUAAAACACACAGCCAAGCUUUCAAUACAAAACCACCAUCCCUCUGUGCUCCCAUCAUCCCCCUCUUUUCCUGUGCUCUCCUGAUCCAGCCAAUCAGCAGCCGUCUUGGUGGUUUGGGAGCCCCUGAGCGCUGUGUGUGUCGAGUGUGUGUGUGUGUGUGUGUGUGUGUGUGUG